rnacentral:rRNA from 1 species
AAUGAACGCUGGCGGCAGGCCUAACACAUGCAAGUCGAACGGAUCCUUCGGGAUUAGUGGCGGACGGGUGAGUAACGCGUGGGAACAUACCCAAAGGUACGGAAUAGCCUCGGGAAACUGGGAGUAAUACCGUAUGUGCUCGAAAGAGGAAAGAUUUAUCGCCUUUGGAUUGGCCCGCGUUGGAUUAGGUAGUUGGUGGGGUAAUGGCCUACCAAGCCGACGAUCCAUAGCUGGUUUGAGAGGAUGAUCAGACACACUGGGACUGAGACACGGCCCAGACUCCUACGGGAGGCUGCAGUGGGGAAUCUUAGACAAUGGGGGAAACCCUGAUCUAGCCAUGCCGCGUGAUCGAUGAAGGCCUUAGGGUUGUAAAGAUCUUUCAGGUGGGAAGAUAAUGACUGUACCACCAGAAGAAGCCCCGGCUAACUCCGUGUCAGCCGCCGCCGUAA